AAAUUGAUAUUUGUUUGAAUUUUGUUCGGGAACAUUUUAGUUUUAUAAUUUUGACCAACUGUUUAUUGGAACUGCAAUUUUAGUAAUGAUUUUUUUUAGUAUUUGUUACUUUUGUCUAUUUUACACUGCAAUGUAAUUGUUUUGAUGGAUUAAGCUAAUAGACAUAAUAGUUUAUUACGGAUUAAGUUUUAUUAAGGAAAACAACUGUAUUUGUUACUAUACUUUUAAUUUUUCACUUUCAAACACCAGAAUUUUCAACACAGUAUAUUUUAUUAGAGAUCACAGCACAUAAUUUCACAGCUUAUUAGUUAAUAAAGUUUAUAGUAAAUCACUGUUCUUCAUAGGUUGUGAUGUGGUGAAAGCGACACCACUAUUUUGUUUUUCAGAGUUCUUCGGGAUAGCUGGCAGCAGUGUCCGGCAAAUCUUCUUUUGUGAUGUCAUUUAAAUAUGAAGAUAUUUUCCUCCGGCGUGUUUGUGCUUUUAGUUCCAAUGACAGUUUACAGGAUAAAUUUUCAAUUUUACACAUUUCCUGUGGUCCGGUGUCCAGUUGUGGGCAUGGCUGAAUCUUGUUUUUGCUUUUGUUUCGUGGUUUAUGUAUCCAAAUUCAGCAUUUAGUAGAAAUCUGUAACAAUUUCAUUUUAAUUUAGAAGUAUGCAAUACAGGUUAGUUUGGUUAUUUUGUUACAACUUGCAACAACAUUUAGCGUUUAUUUUGUUAUGAGAGAGGAGCCACAGCGUAAAGUAUGCCUCCUUUGCUCAUUUUUUUUUAGUACUUACCUGAAUUUUUUGUAGUUUUGUUUCACUUUGUUUCGUGUUAUUGAUCAACAUAAAAAUUGUUGCCUUUUUAUUUAGAUUUUCGUUGAAUUUCAUUUCGGUUGCAACAACAAAUGUUUCCUUGCAUAUUUUAAAGUAUUUUAGUCUAUUUUCGGAACUAAGUGCUAUGAUAUUUAAUUUUUUUUUCGCUCAUUUUGCACCGUAGCACGGUAGUUUUUCAAAUUUAUUUAGGUUGACACUUGACAGACAAGUUUUUUUAGGGUGCGUUCGGAAACGCGCAUAAUAUUUUGGUUACGACUCAGAUUGUGCAACAAAUUGUAACAAUUUUAUUGGUAAUUGUACAAUUCUUUUCGGUUUUUUUAGUAUUGUAAUUACUUAAAUUCAAUACAGUAAUAAGGUUUUUUUGGCACUCAACCCUGGGUAUUUCAAAACAUUUUUUGAAUUAUUUUUGUAACUUAAACUCGUUUAAGUAAAAUAUUGGUUCGGUUUUAGUUUUGGUUGGCAAUUUUAAAUUGUUUCUUUUUUGGUUAUUUCGGUUUUUGUUAUGGCAUGUUUUGGUUGUGAACAUAAGUUUUUGGUAGGUUUUUUUUAAUGAGGUUAAGCCCUCCCCUACUCAAUUACGUUUCGUUUUCGCGGUUGUUCGUGAAGAGUGUUGGAUAUUAAUGGUAGAAUAUUCAAUCACGACUCGUGUUCGGAAAGUGGUGGACAGAAUGUGACUGCUUCCACUACGAUUUUUUUUGGUAUGAGAGAGGCAUGGAAGGUAUGAAUGCGUGAGGUAUGGUAAACACGGCAGAUAUGAUGUAUGAAUACUUUAUAUGCGUGAUGUAUGUUAGGGGCGACACAACCUGGCUCACUUUUAGGUUUGAGCGGUCCUUAACAUGGCCAAAUUGGGUGUUCUGUAGUAGGUGGGUAUCGGGUGCUUACCACACCCGAGCACGGUUUGUGCAUUUUUGCGUAUUUGUGGCUACGCAGUUUGGUCGGUUUGGUGUGGAGAGCCAGCAGUCACCCAUUUUCAGGGGCUGUUUUUUUUGGUUCGGGCUCUCAUUUUUGGGCCAUAUCGACCGCGGUACACCGAUUUGGUGGUACCUUUUUGUGAUUAUCGUGCUGGCGGGUUCAAUGGCCAUUUUUCGGCGUUGGAACGACACACGGAGUUUGUUGCCACGUCUUUACCCGACUUCGUAGGAAGAAGGGUAAUGUUUUGUUUAGCCUACUACAGACAUGCAAUUGUUUUGAAUUUUUUUGAGUUUACUACAGACAUGCAAUUGUUUUGUAUUUUUUUUUGUUUAGCUUCAGCCAAAUGGUUGUAGGUAUGGUUUUGGUUUUGAUUUAUUUUUUUGCCAGGGUUAGGUGAGAACCUCACCUACUGUUGGGGGUUGAGUGCAACUUUGAAUCUUUUUUUAGAUUUUGGGGUCUCGUCGUCAACGUAUUUAAAUUUUUUUGGUAUUUUGAGGGAGAGUUGGCACAGAUUGGUGUGGCCAAUUCAACCAGGCAUAGUUUUUUUGGUUCAGUUUGUUUUUUUUUAGUUUGUUCACCUGAAGGGUUGAGACAAGCAGGUGUCGUCAACCUGUAGGGCUGUAACAAUGAUUUUUAUAGUCGGAAGACUAUAACUUUGGUUUCGCCCGGUCUAGCUGAGUUUUUUUUUGGGAAUGCUGAACAUCGGUCCUGGCGGUUGGUUUUGUGGCUUUCUCAGCACAAUAAGCUUUAUUGCAAGUUGCACUGAGAAGGCCAACGGUUGGUUUACUGGUUUGGAAAUUAGCGGAGGUUUUUUUUCUAUAUGCAGCGCAGUUGGCCGCAUAGUUUUUUUCACCCUCCGAGGGUUGACGCGGGUUCGAGAUUUUUUUUAAAUAUUUUUUUUGUGGUCAAACAGUAGUUUGCUUGUUUUUAAAUACCUUUUGGUAUAAUUUUGCAGAUUUUGGGGGAUUUUUUUUGAGAUUUUGCAGUCUCGAACUUGCGUCAGGUUUUUUUGAUUCUGAUAUUUUUUUGGUAGGUUUAGUUUUCUUGCCUUCAGAUUUUGUUUUUUUUUUAUGAAAGUCGCUGAGGACAGCGAGCGGUUCACCUACGUUGAACCUUAAAUCGGGAAGGGGGGUAUUGUAACGUAGCAGAUUUUUUGAUAGUCGUAAUUAAAUAUUUUGGAUAGAUUUAAUUUUUGAAUGAAACACUUCCUUCUCGUUCAUUGCAUUAUCUGUUGCACUUCAAAUGCACAUAUUUAUGUUUAUCUGUUGUAGGGUUGCCAUACAACAAGUAUUAUUCGAAAUUGUAGGUAUUUUGGCUGUCAUUCCAGGAAAACUUUGUAUAGUUUUGAUAUACUUUAAGUAUUGAUUUUUGGAAAAUAUAAUAUUUUAGAGACAUGAUAACAAAUGUUAUCAUAGGUUUUUUAAGGCUGUUCUGGAAUGAUAUUUGUUAGGUUUUGUUUACUUCAAGGUCUGAUACAGAAACUGGAGUAAUUUUCAUUUAAUGAAUUAGAGUAUUUUAUUGUUUAUUCGUUUGCCACCCGGCUUUUGUUUUGGGUCCUUUAAAUUCGAGAUCAUUCAGUGCGCCGUUCUUUCUGUGACGAGAUCCUCUUGUAUAGUGAUCGGACGGCCGUAUAAGGGCCUGGAGCCCGGCAUGCCACGUGCUGCCGUGGCGUUCCAUAUUUUGUGUGGUGCGUUCUGUCAGUCUGACUGGCAGAAACAUGCUAAGGGUGGGAGUGCUCCUUGGAGAUCCUCGGUCUGCAGUCUGCAGGUCUCCGGUGAGCUCGCUUACAUUUUUUUGUUUAGUCUAUCACAGUGUGUGAGGGCACUCGACUAAUGUGACCAAUUUAUUUGUUUCAUAGGAGUCGGGAAGAAGUAAAGAAUUAGAGAAUUGCAGAAGUAGAUAAUUAAACAAGAACCUUUACAAUUUCGAUGUGCAAGGAAACUUCUUUGGCUUACUGGCGCAAGGUGUCUUUGGACCUUGUUUUCGUAUGGAAGGGUCAGCCCUGUCCACGUGGCGAGGGGGCGUCAGCACCGGAGUCCGGGGAGCAGCCGGCUCAUCCCUGACAAGGUGUGUCUCCUGCCCGUUUCCUGCCGGUAAUGCUGUGUAAUUCAGGUUUUUAAUUUCUGUGUAAAGUAAUUUCUGAUUUCAUUUAUUUUGAGAAUUCUGGUGCAUAACUUUAGGUAAAUUCAUAUUUAGUUUUUGUAGAAUAAAUGGUUGUAAGAAACCUUUUCCUGGACCCUCUUAAAGCGGCCCAGCUUUACCACUGAGCGUAGUUCAUAUUUUUAUAUGGUGUCGAAUUUAGUAUAACUCACUAAUUUCUGUUUAGGCAAGAAUUAGCUUAUAUUUAAUAAAGUUAUAAAAUGUUA
rnacentral:lncRNA from 1 species